GACGAACGCUGGCGGCGUGCUUAACACAUGCAAGUCGAACGAGGUCCACCGCGUAGCAAUACAAGGGAAGACCUAGUGGCGAACGGGUGCGUAACACGUGAGGAACUUGUCCCGGUCUCUGGGAUAACAGUUGGAAACGACUGCUAAUACCGGAUGACGUCGGAGCAUCGCAUGGUGCGCUGACGAAAGGGUUACUGGAUCGGGAGAGCCUCGCGGCCUAUCAGCUUGUUGGUGGGGUAACGGCCUACCAAGGCAUCGACGGGUAGCUGGUCUGAGAGGAUGAUCAGCCACACUGGGACUGAGACACGGCCCAGACUCCUACGGGAGGCAGCAGUGGGGAAUCUUGCGCAAUGGGCGAAAGCCUGACGCAGCAACGCCGCGUGGGGGAAGAAGGCUCUCGGGUCGUAAACCCCUUUCAGUUGGGACGAAGCUUCGCCGGUGAAUAGCCGGCCGGAGUGACGGUACCUUCACAAGAAGCCCCGGCUAACUACGUGCCAGCAG
rnacentral:rRNA from 1 species